UACGUAGGCAGCAAACGUUGUUCGGAUUUAUUGGGCGUAAAGAGCGUGUAGGCGGCCAGGUAGGUCGGUUGUGAAAACUCGAGGCUCAACCUCGAGAUGUCGACCGAAACCAUCUGGCUAGAGUCCGGAAGAGGAGAAUGGAAUUCCCGGUGUAGCGGUGAAAUGCGCAGAUAUCGGGAAGAACACCCGUGGCGAAGGCGGUUCUCUGGGACGGUACUGACGCUGAGACGCGAAAGCGUGGGGAGCGAACAGG
rnacentral:rRNA from 1 species